UGAGGAAUUUUGCGCAAUGGGAGCAAUCCUGACGCAGCAACGCCGCGUGGGUGAUGAAGGCCUUCGGGUCGUAAAGCCCUGUCAGGUGGGAAGAAUGUCCCGGGACUGAACAGGUUCCGGGAGUGACGGUACCACCCGAGGAAGCACCGGCUACCUCCGUGCCAGCAGCCGCGGUAAUACGGAGGGUGCAAGCGUUAUUCGGAAUUACUGGGCGUAAAGCGCGUGGAGGCGGUCCUGCAAGUCUGAUGUGAAAGCCCCGGGCUUAACCCGGGAA
rnacentral:rRNA from 1 species